AUUGAACGCUGGCGGCAUGCCUUACACAUGCAAGUCGAACGGUAACGCGGGGCAACCUGGCGACGAGUGGCGAACGGGUGAGUAAUGCAUCGGAACGUGCCCAGUAGUGGGGGAUAGCCCGGCGAAAGCCGGCUUAAUACCGCAUACGCCCUACGGGUGAAAGCGGGGGACCGUAAGGCCUCGCGCUAUUGGAGGGGCCGGAGUCAGAUUAGGUUGUUGGUGGGGUAAAAGCCUACCAAGCCGACGAACUGUAGCUGGUCUGAGCGGACGACCGGCCGCACUGGGACUGAGACACAGCCCAGACUCCUACGCGAGGCAGCAGUGGGGAAUUGUAGACAGUAGGGGCGACCCUUGUCCAGCCAUGCCGCGUGCGGGAAGGAGGCCUUCGGGUUGUAAUCCGCUUUUGUCAGGUAAGAAACGCUCUGGGCUAAUACCCCGGGGUACUGACGGUACCUGAAGAAUAAGCUCCGGCUAACUACGUGCCAGCCGCCGCCGUAACAC
rnacentral:rRNA from 1 species